rnacentral:rRNA from 1 species
UACGUAGGGUGCAAGCGUUGUCCGGAAUUAUUGGGCGUAAAGAGCUUGUAGGCGGUUUGUCGCGUCUGCUGUGAAAACCCGCAGCUCAACUGUGGGCUUGCAGCCGAUACGGGCGGGCUGGAGUUCGGUAGGGGAGACUGGAAUUCCUGGUGUAGCGGUGAAAUGCGUAGAGAUCAGCAGGAACACCCGUGGCGAAGGCGGCCCCCUGGGCCGUACCUGACGCUGAGGCGCGAAGGCUAGGGGAGCGAACGGG